UACAAUUAUAGACAAAAAAUGAGACAUUAUCAUAACACUCUAAAUAUCAUCUCAUAAUCACAAUAUAGACAUCAAUUAAUAUUUAUACCAUCAUCUCAUCACAUCACAUGUGAAUUACCAAAAACGUACCCUCUGACUAAAAUAUGUAAUCCACCUCUCGAGUUAAGCACUUUAGCCACGGGCCUUUGGCCCCCUUUGUGAACGAAAGCGGAUCUCAUGACCUCUGAUAAUCAAUUAUAAAAUACGACCAAGACCCCUCAAUAAACUAUAUGUAUGCAGUCACGAUCCCUUCAUUACCAAUCGACCUCUCAAUGUAGUAUAAACACGACAAAAGUCUCUCAGUAAACUAGAAGAAAUAUAUAAUCACAUGUACUUUCCUGGUCGAUCUCAAGAUCGCAUAAUUCACAAUGUAUCUUAUACCACCUUUGAAAGUUCACAUGUAUCAUAAUAAAAGAUAAUUUUAUAAUAAUCAUAUAAUUCGAACACAUAAUUGCACAUACUUUAAUAAUAUACUUAAUUCAUAAAUAUUUUAAAAAUAUUUAUAUUUUUCCCUUCACAGAUCCAUGGAUAGAAAUCUGGCAACGAGUCAUUCCAAACUUUCAUGUCUCUACCACUUUAAAAUAAGUACGUUGAAGAAGUAAAGAACCCAAACUUACAAAAAUCAUCAACCUCUUUCAUUUCCUUUCGUUUCUUCCUUUUUCCUUUCUUUUUCUCCCUCUAUUUAUCCAGUUUCGUUCUCUG
rnacentral:lncRNA from 1 species